AACACAAGAAUUGAAAGUGUUAGAGAAGGUCUAUAGGACUCUGAAGACCAAAACCCCAAUGUAGAAAGAUGGGGAGAGUGAAAUCAGAAACAUCCAAGAAUGGACCUUGCUUUCAGAAGAAAUAACAGUUUGCAGUUAGCAUUAUAUGCUUUGGGUAAUUAAUUUCAUAAUUCAAGGUGUUAAGCUAGCAUUCCCAAACUGAAUCCUGAGGAAUUCUUGGAAUAUUAUAUAAGGAAAGAAGAAUCCUAUGGUCAAAAUAUCUGAGAAACCUUAAACUGAGCAG